rnacentral:rRNA from 1 species
UACGGAGGGUGCAAGCGUUGUCCGGAUUUAUUGGGCGUAAAGCGUGCGUAGGCGGCUGCGCAAGUCGGUUGUGAAACCCCGGGGCUCAACCCCGGAACUGCAUCCGAUACUGCGUGGCUAGAGGUAGGUAGGGGAGAUCGGAAUUCCUAGUGUAGAGGUGAAAUUCGUAGAUAUUAGGAAGAACACCGGUGGCGAAGGCAAUCCCCUGGACCUGUACUGACGCUCAUGCACGAAAGCGUGGGGAGCAAACAGG